GUGCCAGCAGCCGCGGUAAUACAGAGGGGGCAAGCGUUAUUCGGAAUUAUUGGGCGUAAAGGGCGCGUAGGCGGCUUUGCAAGUGGCGGGUGAAAUCCCUCGGCUUAACCGAGGAACUGCCUGCCAGACUGUGAGGCUCGAGACCGGGAGAGGUGAGUGGAAUUCCCAGUGUAGCGGUGAAAUGCGUAGAUAUUGGGAGGAACACCAGUGGCGAAGGCGGCUCACUGGACCGGAACUGACGCUGAGGCGCGAAAGCGUGGGGAGCAAACAGGAUUAGAUACCCUCGUAGUCC
rnacentral:rRNA from 1 species